rnacentral:lncRNA from 1 species
UUUUUUUAUCUCCCAAACUCCACAAAGGUCCCUGUCAGUCAUAUUGGAGUUGUUCGUCUCCCAAAUGUUCUCUAUGUUCCUAGUUUUGCAUUUAACCUUAUCUUUGUUAGUAAGUUGACCAGUGGCCACAAUAUUUCUUUGAUGUUUAGUUCUGAAUCUUGUUCCAUUCAGGACCAUUCUUCCAUGACAACUCUUGGUUUGGCUAACCAGAUUUGAGGCCUUUACCAGCUCCUUCCUUCUCACAUACCUUCACAUAAUUCUAUCGUGGCUACCACUUACAAUUUCCAGCCACAACCUAUCCAUUUAUGGCAUUGGCGCCUUGGACAUCCCAAAAAUUCUCGUAUCAAAUCCUAUCAUCCUUGUAAUAAUGAGUACCUUAGAGAGAAAGGACAACAUUGUGAAAUUCGCCAUUUUGCUAAGCAUUAGAGACUUCCGUUCUUUCCUAGUGAGAAACGUGCUAGUAAAGCUUUUGAAUUGGUUCAUGUUCACAUUUGGGGUCCAUUGUCUAUUAAAUCUCAUGAUGGUUUUGCUUACUUUCUUACUGUGGUGGAUGACUAUUCUCGUUGGGUUUGGUUAUAUUUGUUAAAACACAAAUCUGAGGCUAGGGGUCGGUUGGAGGAUUUUUGCCAGUUUGUGCAUACCUAGUUUGACUGUUCAGUCCGCAUCAUCCAUAGUGAUCAAGGUGCAGAAUUCCAUAUGGUUGAUUAUUAUGCUCAACAUUGUAAACUGCAUGAGAUGAGAUGUGUUGCUACGCUUGAACAGAAUGCCCGUGUUGAAAGGAAACAUCGGGAUAUUUUAAAUGUUGCAAGAGCGCUUAGAUUUCACUCUGGCCUUUCUCUAUUUUUUUGGAGUGAUUUCGUGGUUCAUGCUGUUCAUCUUCUGAAUAGGUUUCCUAGUGCAGCUAUUGAGAAUAAGACUCCUUAUGAGCUUCUCUAUGGUUCUGCUCCCGGUCUUGAUCAUCUACGAGUGUUUGGCAGUCUUACUUACGCAGCUACACUAUCACAUCACAUAACUAAGUUUCAAUCUCGAGCAAGGCAGUGUGUUUUCAUCGGCUAUCCCAUUGGCAUUAAAGGUUACAAGCUUUAUGAUAUUCAGUCUCAUAAAUUCUUUGUUUCUAGUGAUGUCAGGUUUCAUGAAACCAUUUUACCUUUUCAUACUUCUUCUUCUAAUUUUCAAGUCUCUGCAUACAAUCUCUCGGUAGAGUCUGAGGGGGGCCAAACAUCAUCAUCUUCUAUUCCCCUUCCCCCCUUUCUCUCACCAACACAUACACCAACCCUGAAUCCAAUACCAAACUCAUACCUGAUUCCCAUACCAUCAUCAUCUCCUGAUAAACUACCAUCUCCAAAUCAACCAUUUUCUAUUGCUGACACUUCUCCUCUUUCUUUAGAAACUGAUUCUGAUUCUGAACUACCUCAUAACCUGCCUCCUGAAUCAGAACUAGAAUCAGAAGUACCAAGACUAUCUAAUCGAAUUAAAUCCUUACCCACUUAUCUUCAAGACUUUCAUCUAAAUGCUGCUUCCGUAUCUCACUAUUCCAAACAUCCCAUUUGGAAACAUAUCACUUAUGAUAACCUUUUCCCAGUUUAUAGAAGCCAUUAAGGAACCUAACACAUAUCAUGAAGCCAUUAAGGAACCAUGUUGGGAUCUUACCAAAAAGAAAGAAUUGGAAGCUCUGCAGGACAAUCAUACUUGAGACAUUGUACCUAAGCCCUUUGGUCAAAAGAUUGUUGGUAAUAAAUGGGUAUUUAAGAUAAAGUAUAAGCCAGAUGGAGUAGUGGAACGAUACAAAGCAAGACUUGUAGUGAAAGGCUACACUCAAACUUAUGGAAUUGAUUUUUCUGGACACAUUUUCUCCCGUUGCAAAGAUCAAUACUGUGAAGACUUUACUUGCAGUUACAGCUGUGAAGAAUUGGGAGUUACAUCAGAUGGAUGUGUAAAAUGCCUUUUUGAAUGGAGACUUAGAGGAGGAUGUUUAUAUGGAAGUUCCUUUAGGUUUGAAUGCACCACCUGGAUCCGUUUGCAAGCUUAGAAAGUCAUUAUAUGGGCUUAAACAAGCAAGUAGACAGUGGUUUGCAAAACUAACAAGUGCUCUCCUGCAAAAUGGAUUCACUCAGUCUGCUUCAGAUCAUUCCCUUUUUCUUAAGCAUUCUGAGAAGAGUACCACCUCUCUUUUGGUUUACGUUGAUGAUAUUAUUCUUGCAAGAGAUAAUGUGGAGGAAUUGGAAAGUGAUAAGUCGUUUCUUAAGAAUUAGUUCAAGAUUAAAGACUUGGGAGAUUUGAAAUAUUUCCUUGGUCUAGAAUUUGCUCGCUCUUACAAAGGGAUUACAGUUUCACAGAGAAAGUAUUGCUUUGAGCUAUUGAAAGAUACAUGCUAUCUUGAUACUAAGCCAUCGCACACUCCUAUGGAAUUUAGGUCAAAACUCUCAGCAGGUCAAAGAGUUCGAUUGACAGAGCUAGAGGUUUACAGAAGGUUGGUAGGAAGGUUGCAUUAUUUAACCAUCACGCGACCAGAUAUAGCCUUUCCAGUCCAACAGCUCAGUCAAUAUCAGGCACAACCCACUGAUGUGCAUCUGCAGGCAGCCUAUAGGGUGUUGCGAUACCUUAAAUCAGCACUAGCACAAGGUCUGUUAUAUUCAGCACAUAAUGAACUUGUGAUGUCUGGUUACAGUGAUUCAGAUUGGGCAUCCUGCCUAGAUACUCAACGCUCUAUUACAGGGUAUUGCACAUUUAUGGGGAAUGUAAUUCUCACAUGGAAAUCAAAGAAACAGAGUAUUGUCCAGGUCUUCUUCAGAAGCUGAAUGCAGGGCCCUUGCACACCUAUCCUGUGAGAUCGAUUGGUUGAAACUGCUUCUUGCAGAGUUGAGGGUGUUCAUCCCCACCACAGUAUCAAUCUAUUGUGACAAUCGAUCAGCCAUAUACAUAGUUGAAAAUCAUGUUUUCCAUGAAAGAACGAAACAUAUAGAUAUUGAUUGCCAUGUGGUCAGAUAUCGUGUGAAGUGUGGAUUAUUGAAGCUAUUUCAUGUUGGAACUGAAUUUCAACAAGAAAAUUUAUUCACAAAAGGGAUGCAUCGGGUUCGAUUGCGAUUUCUGAUUGCCAAGUUAGGAGUUAUUUACAUAUACUCCUCAACUUGUAGGGGCAUAUUAAGAAUGAAGAAGGAUCUGCAUACUGCAACUGCUGCUCCUGGAGAUGAUGACUCUAACGGAAUAAGAAGGAAUGAUUUUUGUGAUGAAGUUGUGGAGAUUAUGUUGACAUGAAUCAAGCCUAACUGAUAGGCUCUGUUUGUUAGAUGUUUCACAGGCUUCUCGGCCCACACACGGCCCACACAGAAUUGGAUAGAGCCCAACUCAAGUCGGUGCUCAGGAGAAGAAGCGGGUAUCGCCUUCAUGAACCAGAAUUACUCUAACCCUAGUUGCCAUUUCUAACUCGCAGAAUUAGAGAAGGUGCCUGCUUUGAUACGAAGAAACAGGUGUCAAGCAUGGAAAGAAGGAAGUUUCGAUACUUGCCUUCUUCAUCAACAAGAGCAAGCUCUGGCAACAAUAAAUACUAGUCGCUGCAAUUUCUCAAGGUGCGCUUCUGAACCGGAGAAAAACACAACAAAGUUGGGUGUGCUGUCUGAAGGGCAAUCGCACGACUAGAGCUGGAGCAUCAACGAUCGCUGUCUCGAUUGAGUUACGCUGGACGCUGAGUGUGUAGCUGGAGCUUAACAAAGUCGAUCGAGAGCCACGAAUCGAAGUUUAAGCCUCAAAGUGUUUAAGGUUGCAGAGUCGUAAAUUUUACGUCACUUGCUGUAGACUCUUGCUACUAAGUGUAUUGACUGCUUAUUGUGCUAACUCAAUAAGCUACGCCUGCAUGCUUUAGUUUAAACUUAUUUUCUGAAAGUAUCAUUUCGUCUUGCAUGCUUAGAACUAGUAAGGUUUAGCCACAUGCACCUGCUGCUUAAUUAAUUUUAAUGGUGAGAUUUCUCUCUUGUUGCAUCAAGAGGUUAAUAUUUAGUUUCUGCUGAAACAAAAUUCAUUACUCGUUGAAAGUAAGAGGGAUCAGACUCCAACAGAUUAGACCGUUAGUCCGUUAGUCAAUACGCUGCGUUUACGCUUAUCUUCUGUUUUCACUGUUUCACUUUUAUUACCAUUGGAUAAACAGUGUAUUUGGAUUUUACCGUUACUAUUAAAUAAACGGCCACAGCCAUGGCUGCUGCUGCAAACUUGCGCGCACCAUUUUCCAGCUUCUCUCUCUCUGUUUUGAUAUCUUCUCCUCUUGUCGGAUUUUUUUUUGUUCUGCAUGCUUGAUCUAAUUUUUCAAAGACGUUGAUGCAAAUUGUGUUCCCUCUAUCAGAUUAUUAAGUUGCUAUUCCCAACUGAAGCUUCUUUGUUAUACCCUGGUAUGAUAUCAGUUCUAGAAUCUGUUAUGGUGGUCAGUCUAUUUUCCCAGUUGGAUGUCCAUCAACGAACCUAGCUUCAUAUAUAGUGCUGUUAUUGGUCUUUGUGGAUCGGGGUCUCAAGGUCUUAUCACCCUUCAAUAUAAAUGCCCUUCUUGUAUCUCCAAUAUGUUAAAAACUGGGUUUCUUGCGGAUUGUGGGUGUAUAACAAGAGGAUUGCAUUGUGGUUGUGGUGGAGGGCCUUAGAGGAUUCAUCCCCUUUUGCUUUUGGAUUUCUGAUUAGCCAAAACUGUUUUACAUUUGGUCUUGAGGUGGUUGCUACUUGUGUGCUAUCAUCUGUUCAAUUCCUUGUAACAUUUGGUCUUGCAUUUCUAAGUGCUUAAUAAACUCUGUAGUUGGUACAUUUUGUUGAAAGUGAUGCUAGUGUGUAUGCCAACUGGUUAUUGUCUUGUCAUUGAUUUGAGAAUAAGUUGAAACUGAAGGAAUUGGUAUAACAGAAACUGAAAUGGAUUCUCUGGAGCUUUUUGGAGAAUGCAGUAGUGAUUCACAAACUAGUGCGACAACUGUGUUAGAUAUUGUUAAAUUAUAGUUCAGUAGCUGAGUGUAGUAAGUGAUAGUUGUAGUGAUAUAAAUAGAACUUUCCCCUUUCUCUUGUAAUUCAAUUUCAGUUACACAGUAAUAACAGAAAACAGAUUCAUUACAUUCAUUCCAUUUCUUCAAUCUUCACAUGGUAUCAGAGCUCCAUUGCUGAGCUGAUUUCACCAUGACUGAAUCAUCUCAAUCAUCAUCCAUUCUAUCCACACUCAACUCUAAUCCUCAUCCUUCAAACUUUACCGAUCAUUUCGCCAAUCCGCUGUACUUAUCUCCCGACGACAGCCUAUCAACUCCGAUCGUCGGAGUGAAGUUGACGAACGAAAACUUCCAUGUCUGGAGUAGGUCUAUGAGCGUAGCCCUGAGCAUCAAGAACAAGCUGAGCUUCAUUGAUGGCUCUUAUCCAGCUCCAGACUCUUAAGAUGUCUCGCAUCAGGCGUGGAUUUGAUGCAACUUCACUGUCCUCAACUGGAUUCUGAAUUCAGUAUCGGAAGACAUCGCGCAGAGUCUCAUCUCCUAUGACAACGCACCUGCUGCUUGGAAUUAUCUCAAGCAACGCUUCCGCCAAUGCGACGCGAUUCGAAUCGCAGAUCUCCAAUCGCGAAUUGCUUCCUGCGAUCAAGGUCAGGCUACUGUCACUCAAUACUUUACUAAUCUGAAGGUUCUUUGGGAAGAAUCCAUCCAGUAUCGUCCAAUCCUCUUAUGUGAGUGUAAUCCUGGUCACGUUCUAAGUGCUUAAUAAACUCUGUAGUUGGUACAUUUUGUUGAAAGUGAUGCUAGUGUGUAUGCCAACUGGUUAUUGUCUUGUCAUUGAUUUGAGAAUAAGUUGAAACUGAAGGAAUUGGUAUAACAGAAACUGAAAUGGAUUCUCUGGAGCUUUUUGGAGAAUGCAGUAGUGAUUCACAAACUAGUGCGACAACUGUGUUAGAUAUUGUUAAAUUAUAGUUCAGUAGCUGAGUGUAGUAAGUGAUAGUUGUAGUGAUAUAAAUAGAACUUUCCCCUUUCUCUUGUAAUUCAAUUUCAGUUACACAGUAAUAACAGAAAACAGAUUCAUUACAUUCAUUCCAUUUCUUCAAUCUUCACAUGGUAUCAGAGCUCCAUUGCUGAGCUGAUUUCACCAUGACUGAAUCAUCUCAAUCAUCAUCCAUUCUAUCCACACUCAACUCUAAUCCUCAUCCUUCAAACUUUACCGAUCAUUUCGCCAAUCCGCUGUACUUAUCUCCCGACGACAGCCUAUCAACUCCGAUCGUCGGAGUGAAGUUGACGAACGAAAACUUCCAUGUCUGGAGUAGGUCUAUGAGCGUAGCCCUGAGCAUCAAGAACAAGCUGAGCUUCAUUGAUGGCUCUUAUCCAGCUCCAGACUCUUAAGAUGUCUCGCAUCAGGCGUGGAUUUGAUGCAACUUCACUGUCCUCAACUGGAUUCUGAAUUCAGUAUCGGAAGACAUCGCGCAGAGUCUCAUCUCCUAUGACAACGCACCUGCUGCUUGGAAUUAUCUCAAGCAACGCUUCCGCCAAUGCGACGCGAUUCGAAUCGCAGAUCUCCAAUCGCGAAUUGCUUCCUGCGAUCAAGGUCAGGCUACUGUCACUCAAUACUUUACUAAUCUGAAGGUUCUUUGGGAAGAAUACAUCCAGUAUCGUCCAAUCCUCUUAUGUGAGUGUAAUCCUGGUCACGUCUCGACUUGCAAAGUCAUUUCUAGAAUGUUGCUAUAUCAAGAGCAGGAUUAUGUCAUUCGCUUCAUUCGAGGAUUGAAUGAUAGUUAUGACGUAGUGCGAUCCCAGUUAUUUUUGAUGGAUCCAUUACUUGAUGUUCACACUGCUUUUAAGUUUGCUGUUCAAAUGGAACGGCAAAUGAAAGGAAAUGCAAUUAGAUCUAUGGACUCCAUUGCUCUUGCUGCACCUAAUUACUCUGGAAAUGGAAGAGGAAGAGAUUCAGGUGAUAAACAGCCUUUGUUCUGUCGAUAUUGUAAAAAGGACAAUCAUAACAUCGAGACAUGCAUGAGGUUAAAGAAUAAAAAGGCCCGUGAGGCAAGCAAUGGUGGAGGAACUGGUUUUAAUCGUUUUGCUGGUGCAGCUUCUGGUGAUAUGCACAAUAAUCUUGAUAAUGAUUAUCAGUCUUCUCAUGGUUAUCCAACUCCAGACUAUCGUUUUGCUUCUGAAGGUUCAUCAGAUACUGUCAACAUGUCCCUGUCCUCCUCAGAGCUUGCACGACUUCGACUACUCCUCCAGCAACCAAUUCCAACACAGUCCCAUUCACAAGCCACCUACGCCAACCUAAUUACCACUACCCUGCCCGUGUCAUCCACUUCAUCAGGUACUUACAUUCUUUCCACUCUCACAUCUCAACCUCUUUCCAAUUACUGGAUUGUUGACACAGGUGCAAGUAGCCAUAUUGCUUGCUCAUCUCAUUUGUUUUCUCAUCUUAACACUAUUUCUCCCAUUCCUGUCACUUUACCUACUGGUGCCAAUCUUCUUGCUACUCAUGUUGGGGUAGUCGUCUUGCCUUGUGGUCUGUCUCUCCAAAAUGUGUUGUAUAUCCCUUGUUUCUCCUUCAACUUGCUGUCUGUGAGCUGUCUCACUCAACAAUCCUCCAUUUCUGUUGUUUUUUCGUCUCAACAGUGUCAUAUUCAGGCCCUUCCUUCACAGAAGACGAUUGGUUUAGCCCAAGAAAGUAGAGGUCUAUACCUUCUUCCUGCCACCCACACUACAGCCUUCACUUCUCUUCUCUCAUCUGAUGUUAUUGUUGCAGCAUCUCUUAACCUUCAUCCGCAUUUUUUGGAUAUUUGGCAUUGCAGACUAGGUCAUCCAUCCCUAGGCAGACUGCAACUCAUUCACCAAGCUCAACCAUCCAUCACUCUUCCUUCAUCUCCCCAUUGCAUCACUUGUCACCUUGCUAAGCAGAAAACUCUUCCUUUCAAUAAAAGUACAUCCAGAGCUAGUUCCCCUUUCGCUCUUGUUCAUAUGGACAUUUGGGGACCAUUACACACUCCCACUCACGAUGGUCAUAGCUACUUUCUCACUGUUCUUGAUGAUUUUAGUCGAUGUGUUUGGAUCUUUCUCAUGAAACAUAAGGGCGAGACCCGUGAACUUGUUAAUUCUUUCUGUUCCAUGGUUUCUACACGAUUUUUAGUUUCUGUUAAGACCAUUCGUUCUGACCAGGGAGCAGAAUUUCGAAUGGAUUCUUUCUUUGCUAUGCAUGGUAUUGUUCAUCAGCAAAGUUGUGUCUCUGUUGCUCCUCAGAAUGGACGAGUCGAAUGAAAACACCAACAUCUCUUAGCCGUAGCCCGUUCCCUAAGAUUCCAAAGCGGUUUGUCUCUCAGAUUCUGGGGGGAUUGUGUCUUACAUGCUUGCUACUUAAUCAAUAGACUUCCAACUCCUGUUCUUAACAACCUUUCCCCUUCCGAGACCCUUUAUAACGUCAAGCCUUCAUAUGAUCAUUUGCGUGUUUUCGGAUGUUUAUCCUAUGCCAGCACCCUAUCUCAUAAUCGUACCAAAUUUGCUCCCAUAUCAACCCCUUGUGUGUUUAUAGGAUUCCAGAAUGGCAUCAAAGGAUACAAAUUAUUGGAGAUAGCUACCCAGAAAAUCAUUGUGUCCAGGAAUGUUGUGUUUCAUGAAUCAAUUCUUCCUUACAGAGAACCUCAACUUUCUCCAACGUUCACUACCACCCCAAACCAAUCCAUGAUUCCUAUCACUCUUGAUUCCCUUUCUCCUCCCACUGAUGACUUGGAAGAAAACAUUUCUCCUGCAGACAUGAAUCAUCACCUUCAAGCAGAAAAUAUCACCAACACAAAUUCCAGCUCAUCCUCAAACACAAAUCAAACCCCUCAGACAGAAAUCAUCAACACAGACCUCACAUCUUUAUCUCAACCCACAAGCCAUACUCAAUCUCACACUUACAUUAAUCCUCCUAUGCCAUGUAAAUGAUCCACACGAAUCACUAGACCUCCCAGAUAUCUGCAGGAUUAUCAUUGUUCCCUUCUUAGCUCGACUCAAGCUGUAGUGGAGGAUCACUCAUCUCUCCCUAUGCAUAAAUACCUAUGUUAUGAUUUUCUUUCACCAUCUCACAGAGUUUUUUCUUUGUCUAAGCCACAAACCUUUGAGGAAGCCGUGAAAUCACCUCACUGGAGGAGGACCAUGAUGGAAGAAAUGCAGGCUCUCGAGGCAAACGGGACAUGGACAGUUACUGAUAAACCAUCAGGGGUAGGGCCCGUGGGAUGCAAGUGGGUAUACCGGAUUAAGUACAAACCAGAUGGAAGCAUAGACAAGUAUAAGGCACGUUUGGUUGCCAAGGGAUACACACAAGUGUAUGGAGUGGAUUUUACAGAUACUUUCUCACCAGUAGAAAAAAUUACUUCGGUAAAAACACUGCUGGCAGUAGCAGCAGUUAAGAAUUGGCACUUACAUCACAUGGAUGUAAGCAAUGCCUUUCUUCAUGGAGACUUGGAUGAGGAAGUUUAUAUGGACAUACCAAAGGGAUAUGAGACUAAAGGAGAAGGAAAACAAGUCUGCAAACUACAGAAAUCAUUGUAUGGUUUGAAGCAGGCAAGUCGGAUGUGGUUCAUCAAGUUCACCAAGGCACUGAAGUUGGAGGGAUUCAAGCAAUCUGAUUCUGAUCAUUCUCUAUUCACAUACUGCUCAGGAACGUCCACGCUAGUAUUGCUGGUCUACGUGGACGACAUCAUACUGGCUGGGAAUGAUCUCGUGUUGAUGGAAGAGAUUAAAAGGAAGUUGCAAGGACAUUUCAAAGUAAAAGAUAUGGGGUCCCUGAAAUAUUUCUUUGGACUGGAAAUUGCCAGAACAAAGGAUGGAAUUUCUAUGUGUCAACGAAAAUAUUGCCUGGAAAUGAUUUCAGAUGCUGGGUUGUUGGAUGGGAAACCCACAAAGACUCCACUUGAUUAUAAGGAGAAAUUAAGAGCAGAUGAAGGAAAUCCCCUGGAGGACAUUACUGUAUUCAGACAAAUAGUUGGGAGGCUGCAUUACAUCACCAUAACACAACCUGACAUUUGCUAUGCAGUACAACAACUGGCACAGUUUCAAGCCAAGCCUACGGAUAUACAUCUCAAAGCUGCAUACAAAGUUAUCAGGUAUCUAAAAGGGUCCCCAGGUCAAGGUCUAUAUUUUAGAAGGGACAGCAGCCUGGAGGUUAGUGGAUACUGUGAUUCAGAUUGGGCAAGUUGCCCAGACACGAGAAGGUCUACCACUGGAUAUUGCUUGUUUCUGGGCAGUUCCUUAGUGUCUUGGAAGACUAAGAAACAAAGCACAGUGUCCAGAUCUUCAUCGGAGGCUGAGUACAGAGCACUCGCCUCGUUGUGCUGUGAAGUUCAAUGGAUGAAGGUCUUACUGGCGGAUUUGGGAGUCCCUCACAGCACUCCAAUGCAACUUUACUGUAAUAAUCAGUCAGCGAUCCACAUUGCUUACAAUCCCGUUUUUCAUGAACGCACUAAGCACAUAGAGAUUGAUUGUCAUGUGAUUCGUGAGCGGAUUGAGUCAGGAUUGGUGCAGCUUAGACACGUCUCAACGGAAACUCAGUUGGCUGACAUCUUUACUAAGGGACUGGCUGCUCCUCGGAUGCAAUUCUUGCUGUCCAAACAGGGUGUUCUGAACAUCUAUUCCCCAGUUUGUGGGGGGGGGGGGGGGGGGUUGGACAGGGUCAGUUAUGGUGAGAAUAGCGGAGUAGCUGAGUGUAGUAAGUGAUAGUUGUAGUGAUAUAAAUAGAACUUUCCCCUUUCUCUUGUAAUUCAAUUUCAGUUACACAGUAAUAACAGAAAACAGAUUCAUUACAUUCAUUUUCAUUUCUUCAAUCUUCACAAACUGUAGUACUUUUGGAUUUAUUUUGGUCUGGACUUCUGAAUCUUGUCAUCUGCAGUGUUUCUUGAAUGGAUGUAGGCAGCCCGGGCCUUUUUCCAUUUCUAACGUUAUUCCAACAACUGUAACUCUGCAAGAAUCUGCUGUGAAUGUGAAUGAAACAGUGGUAUUAUUGAUUCCCCAUACUCAAAUUCCCGUUCCUGAAGAAAUAUCCCGAAUUGUAUUCAGGUUCGGGAACAGGACUUCGAGUAUGUAAAUCGGGAAUUUGGAAAUUCGGGAACAGUGUCCCGAUUUCCACUCCUAUCCUUCUCUGAUUUAUUUCUAGUUUUCUUGAGUCUUGAAUCUGAGUUCAGCAUAAGCUGUAGAAUCAGGUGCUUCAAUUGAGAGUGAGGUAGAUUGCUUCAUUAAGUUCUCAGUUUGAUCAUGUCAAAAUAAGAUGAACAUUUCAUAGUUAGAUUGCAUUUGAUUUCCUAUAUUAUUUGUUGUAAUAAUGGUUAUUGCAUGGUUUGAAAAAUCAUCCUUGCUCUUGUAAAGGUUCUUGCUAUACAACAUGCAUAGUAACGAUCCAUGUGACUUCAGUUGCCUUUGUUUCAUUAAGUUCUCAGUUUCCACAUUUAUUGUCCAGCUUUCUGUUUAAUCUGUUGACUUAUUAGAUAUUUUACUAUUUUAGACGGUAGUUCAUAGAAUCUUAUGAACCAAUUCUACGAUUUUACUACCCGAUUCUAUGUUUACGACUGUACCUCACUUCUCAUUCCACGUGGAAUCCCGAUUUUGACUAGCACUUUGAGGCUUCCUCUCGAUUGCAGUCAUAUGUUGGUUUACUUCAAUCGAUGAUCUCCUGUACAGUGAUAUCAAUUUUCUGGUUACUGACAAAUCCAGAAAAGAGAAAGAGAAUCGGUUCAUUCAACCUCAGAGCCCAGAAAGCGGAGCAUUCUGCUUGCGGCUAGUGGGAGUGUGGCUGCCAUCAAGUUUGCAAACCUGUGCCACUGUUUCUCCGAUUGGGCUGAACUGAAAGCGGUUGCUACUAAAGCUUCUCUACAUUUCAUUGACAGAGCUGCACUUCCCAAGGAUGUGCUUCUUUACACAGACGAGGAUGAAUGGUAGACUUGGAGCAAGAUUGGGGAUAGUGUGUUGCACAUUGAACUCCGCAGAUGGGCAGACGUUAUGGUUAGUGCCCCACUAUCAGCCAAUACCCUUGGCAAAUAUCUUGUUUGGCUUUAACAUUUCCUCACCGUCAGCGAAGACUGGACUUGCAAGGUGUCUGAAUUUGCUGUCACUAUUUUAACCUAUAGAAGCAAUAUUCUCAGGUUUCGGCUGUAACAACAAUCAUUUCAAAUAUGCAAUUGUAGACGCACUAUUAGGGUUUAUAUUCAUGUUAAAGAAGGCUUUCUUUGCUAUUUGCAAUAAGUUAAGUGACUAGCAGAGAGUGAAAGCAUUUAUAUAUACGAUGGAUCAGUUUUGCAAAUCUAUUGCCCACAAGAACUAAGGGAAUUGCUUUCUUGGUGCAACUGUCAACCUAUGAUUGUUUUCUCAUGAAUUCAUUCAUUUGAAGAAAGUACUUCUAGCGUGGGAGGGUUCUCCGAUAUAAUUUAGGUACACAUUCCAUGGUUAUAUUGUUUUUGUGUCUUGGUUGCAUCAAAUUAGUUGCACUAGUAAUAUAGUUGCUUAUGCAAGCUAUCUUUAACAUUUCCCUCAAAUGCAGAUUGCUGGGGGAUUGUGUGAUAACCUGCUGACUUGUGUUGUGAGAGCGUGGGACUAUUAGGAGCCUCUGUUCAUAGCACCAGCUAUGAACACGUUCAUGUGGAGGAACCCAUUCACAGAAAGGCAUCUGAUAUCAGUAGAUGAAAUUGGGAUUACCAUGAUCUCACCUGUUUCAAAGAAGCUGGCUUGUGGAGAUUAUGGUACCGGUGCAAUGGCAGAACCGUCUGGGAUAAAUUCAACUGUAAGACUGUUCUUACAGUCGAGGAAUCAACAAGGUGAAGGGACAAACAGUUAACAAUAGUGGGAGAGAAUCCUCACACUCGCUUGUAACUCCCCAUCUGAUUGUUUACUGUAUUGUAGCUUGACUGAGAUAAAAGCAGCCUUGUGUGGAUUAUUGUCGGGUUGGAAUAGGUAAGCUUGUUAGUAGAAAUGUGUAGUAGGAAGACGGCCUUCUAGUUAUGAGAGGUGGAAAGGGUAACAGGAGCUUAGGAAAUAGGAACAGUCAGUCUCUCAGAGACCAGCAAAAUGAGGAUUCGUUAUGUUGUAGUGACGUACAAAAAUAGUAUGAAUGAGGUUUGUUGAAAUCGUAUCAAAAUCAACUAGCUUGAGUAGUUUGGUCCAACCUUCCACUUACUGCCUACCAACUGGUGGGACUAUGACUUGUUUGAUUUGCAAAAUCGUACCUUUUCUCUGUUGUGACACAGAAAUGAAUGACUAGCUAGGUUGAUUUUAGAUAAAUGAGAUCCAACAAACUUCCCUUUUUAAGGACAAACGUGGUGGUUUAUAGAGAUCAGAGAUGAACUAUGAUCUGUUAUUAUACUUGUGUUAGGGUUGGUGUGUAUACAAAACGGAAUCUAAACAGUAGUCCCAUCAGGCAGAUUAGACACUGAUCUAUCUGAAUUUUACCUUAACACUGUCGAAUUGGCCUAAAGGUGCUGGAAUUGCCAAGUCGAAUAAGAAUUGGUUCAUUACACGCAGAUAAAAUAAAAUAAAAAAAAGAAUAGUUUCUUGAACCAAAUACAAGUUCGAUUACAUUACUACCACAAAAACUGUGAUUGAGAAUCUUGUUUCUCCCGGGAACCGAGUUAGGGGUGCAAAAACAGCCAUGAAAUGCUGGUGAUGACAUGACAAUUCAAGGUGGUUUUUGCAUCAACUAAUAAAAAUUACAGAGUCCAACUCCACCCAGCCAACAUCAACAACUGACUGACUGACUAACUAACUAAGUAACUAACCCGUAAGUACUAAACACGAUUCGCUUCCCUAGGAGCAGCAGCAAUAGUAGCUGAUACCUGAUUAUGUUCAUCCGCCACUACUCUCCUCAUCUCAACAACCCACUUCACCAACUUCACUACAUACUCAUACAUAUUCAAAGCAAUGUACAUCCCUAUCCCACCAAUUAUCCCAUUCGAAAUCGAAUAAGUCAACGGCAUCAGCAGCAUUGUCAAAAACGCAGGCACACCUUCCUUCAAAUCACCCCAAUCAAUAUCCUUCACCACUUUCAUCAUCAUCACCCCAACCAUCACCAACGAAGGCCCAACUGCCCACGGCGGGAUGCUGCUCAACAACGGAGUGAAGAAUAUCGACAUCAGAAAAUAUAACCCAACAACCACCGCAGUCAACCCCGUCCUCCCACCUUCCCUCAUCCCAGCCGUUGACUCCACAAACGUCGCCACCGGUGAAACCCCCAGCGCAGACCCAACUACCGUUGAUCCUGCAUCAACCAUGAACGCCAUGUACUCGCCUUCGAAGCUCCCUCUCUCGUCCACAAGCUCCCCAACUUCAGCCAUGGUGUACAACGUCCCAGUUGUCGACACAACAUCCACGUAUAGCAAUGUCACUAGUGCAACCCAUACCUCACUCCUAUUGAAAUCUCUGAAACUUAUGGCUCCUGCCGUUGACUUAAUCUCGUGGAAGUCAACCACUUUCUUGAAGUAAUUGAAGUUUUUGUCACCAGUUGACGUGUGAGGGAAGUAUGUGACACUAGUGCCUCGAACCCAUGACACAACUGUCACAAACAUAAUCCCAUAUAUCAUACUACCCUUCACGUUCUUCAUCAGUCCGUAACAUGUUAUUAAAAACCCGACGCAUCCUAGCCAGAAAGUGGGGUUCGUCAUCUUCCCGUCGACACACUCUCCAGUGACCGGAUUUGUCCUCGAGCAGGCCGCAAGGGUCACCAGAGUGGAUGGAUCUGGCCCAACAAGGCCCAAACCUUGAUGGACCUGUAAGCCCACAAACGCAAUAAAAAGCCCAAUCCCCGCCGCGCAGCCUAGCCUCACCGGCCUCGGUAUUAGCCUGGCGAUCUUGGACCGAAGACCGAGAACGGCAAUUGCGAGAAACACACAUCCUUCCACCAAAACAACGGCCAUUGCGGUCCGGUAAGACAUGGAGCCGGACCCAUGGAAGCCCACCAAAUUGUAGGCCAAGUAAGCGUUUGGGCCCAUACCGGGAGCAAGUCCAAAAGGAAGAUUAGCUAAAACUCCCAUGGCAAAAGAAGCAAGCAUGGCUGUCAAGGCAGUGGCGACCACUAGAUCACUCUUGAUUGUGUCUAGGCAGCUCUGGUAGCCCUCGUCGGCGGGGGAGCAGGUGCCCCCGGAGUCGGCGAGGAUGGUGGCGUUGACAGAAAUGAUGUAAGCCAUUGUGAUGAACGUGGCGGUGGCAGCACGGAGCUCCUUGGUGAAGGUGGUCUUUCGGGGUUGGAGCUUGAAGAAUUUUCCGAACCGGCUGUUGGAUACGGCGUUGUUUAAGGAGGUCUCUACUUUGGUGAAGAAGGAAGGAGGGGAAGAAGAAGAAGAAGAAGGCAUAAUGGUAAUGGUAAUGGUGGGUUUGGGAGUGGUUAGGUGAUGGUGAGGGUUUUCCAUAAUAGAUGGAUGGAGUUUGAUUUUGUAAGGACAGAAUCUUUGGAGUGAUAUAUUUAUAAGGGGGAGGGAAAGUAGAAUGGUUUAUAAUUUUGGAUUUUCAAGGGAGGUAAUGAUUUGAGUUAAGGAUUGAGAUUUUUUUUUUGUAUUUUUAUUUUUAUAAAUAAGGGCAGAGAAUCUUUUGGGCAGGUUAAUUACUAAAUUCAAAUUCAUUUGUUUAUUUAUUAAUUUUCGUACUCCUGUUACAAUAAUUUAAAGUCAUAAGAAUGGUUUUUUGUUAGCCAAAUUAAAUAGAGUGAGUCGAGUUACGGGUUACAAGAUAUUGAGUUAUAAUACAGAUUUGUUGGGCUACAAAUUAAUUUGAUUAAUUGCUUUAAAAACAUUUGAGAUUAGCAGUUAUGAAUUGUUGGUCAUUAAUCAUCUUUACUGAGUGAGUGCUGCCUGAUUUUGUAAUCUAAUCCCACUUAUGUUAACGUUACAGUUAAAGCUCUUCAUCAUCAUCAUCAUCAUCAUCAUCAUCAAUCCAUCAUCUUCCAUUUUGUUUUGGUGCUAAUUAAGUUUUUUUCCUUUACUUUCCCUGUUACAUUAUUUUGUACUGUUAUGUAUGAAAAUAUAUGCCCCGCCCGACUCACCUCUUAAUUUGUGAAACCACAAAUCUUAACAUUCUCUAAACACUUGGCUAGCUAAUUAAUAAGCUAAAAUGUUGAUUCCUUUUGGUUGGAACGUAACACACAGCACAGGUCAUAAGUACAGGUACUUUAAUUAUAAGUAGUCCUCAAAGAAAACGUGAGGUGUAGAUAUGCUUAAUUACUUUAACGUUCCCAAACCAUCAUCACUACUAUAUAUAUGCCUUAAUUUCACGAGUCAUGACUAGCUAGGCAGCCAACGUAUAAAAGAUCAUGAGCGGCAUGCUUACUUUAACAUUUCCAUACUAUCAACUAACGCUAUACAUAUUUCACGUGAAAUACAAGGACGGAUUUAGGAUUGAAAUAUGUACUGAGUCAGAUUUUAAUAUUAACGUAUAUAUUGAGUAAUUAAUUUACGAAACGUAAUACUAAGUGAAAAAAUAUAUAUGUUGUGUUAUUUUUAGUUAAAGCAAGUUGUUCUUAAAUAUUGAAUGUAUCAUUAACGAUUUUUUUUCCUAAACAAGUAAGACCAUUCUCAUCACAAAAGGAAAUAAUUGAUAAACUUGCUUAUGUGGCCAUAAUGUUCAUAUUAUCAAUUUUUUUUUACAUCGAAAAGGUCUACUUAUAUCAUUGAAAUCUACUUCUGAAGGGGUGGCACAAAUUCCAUCCCCAAAGGGGCAUAAGCAUUCAACUCGGAGAUCCAAUGCUCAGGAAGAGAACCCCUAACUGCCCUUUUUGCAACCCCAUCUUUGCGCGAGUUUGAUAUUCACGGAGUGAAUAGAACUGCAAGAAGGGGGGAUUGACGCAGAACGGUCACCAUAGAGGCAAUGCUAGCCGCACAAUCCCAAGGACAAAUGACACGAGACCCGACCAUUGAGAAUAUUAACCAGAGUCUUGCAGUCGGAGAAGAUUCGACAUGGAGCAUCCAAAUGGUUACCAAUCUCAAUAGUAAUCAUAAGAGCCUCGGCUUCAGCCGCAAAACGGAGAGGACAUGACGAGCGGAUUUUACCCCGCUAAUCAAACACCCACUAGAUUGGUCUAAUGUAUUGUAUUUCCCUAGGGUCUUUCUAAUACUAUUACUCAAAUUGAUUAUGCUAACUAAACCAUGUAAUAGUGAAUGGUUGUUUGUAUGAUUGUUUCUAUAACCAAUUAUCAACUAGGUAUGCAAAUCAAAAGAAAGCAAAUGCAAGAGAUAGAGUUUGAAAUAUGGAAUGAAACAUGUUUGGAUUCGAAUCCACUAAGGCAAACAAUUCAUGGAUGAAUGAUAUGUUAUCUCAAUUAUUCAGGUUAUAACGGCUUGGCUAUUUCUUACGAUAGUCUUAGGUGAGACUCGCGCCUCUAAGGAUCUAUUUUGCUCGACCAUAGACUCCUUUCUGGAGCUAAUCUCUUUCUCGAGCUAAUCUACACCUAAGCAGAACAUAGUAAUGGUGUUCGAUGAAAUGACACAACGAUAAUGAUACAGAAUGCCUAAACGAUAUGUUCCUCUCUCGAGCUAACGAAUAACCUAGAGUUCUUCCUAAGCGUCCUAUCGAUCUAUGUUCCUCUUGGACCCACAAAUCAAUAACAGUGAUUCAAUUAAGGAGAUCAAACGAAAUUGAAUCAGAAAUUAGGUUUAGCAAGAACACAUCAUAAGUCUGAAUAACCUUGAUAACAAAUAAAAGGGUUAAAACCCCAUCAUCCAUACAAAAACCAAGCUAAAGCUUCAUCUAAUAAAAACAACACGAAAAGUUUAGCUACUCAUGGUUCGGGAAACAUGAAAGGUAGAAGAAAGGAAAAUAACCCGGGAAGAAAAUAUGUUUCGUCGAGAAAUCUCCGUCUUGUCGUCAAUCUCCAAUCUGUCUCCAAUCGUUGAUGUUCUCUCACUUCAAUCGAUCUAUGGAACUGUAUCUCUCUCCAAAAGAGCAGGUGGUUCGAAAUUGAGAUCCUAGCAUCCAAGACAUCCACAAAUAGAACGAGAACAACAAUCAUGCAUCCACUGUCAUCCAUAAAGUAAGCUUGAGAAGAAUUUUCGAAAAGCAAGAACAACAAUUAAGCACAAAUGAUCACAAGUUAAGUACCCAAAAUUUCAAAGCACCCUAAUCCCCCACUGUUUAACAGGACAUUAUCCUCAAUGGACCAAACAAUCAAGUGAGACAGAGCCAGAAAAUAUGGUACUAACUUAGAAAUCAUGAUAGUGAGCACAUGUAGAGCUUAGACGAGGACCAAGGCUCCAUUCGAAUAUUAAGUGAGAUCUAGACUUCCUCUUCAUAUGAAUGGAGUUUUAUGGCCAAAGAGAAACAAAAAAAAGCAAAGGAAGAAAGGCAAUUGCCAAUCAGUUACAUCAAUCCAUAACAAGCAAAAAUAAAAAAACAGACACAUAAGUUCAACCACGAGACACAUAAAAGAAAACUAAAACAUAACCACAAGUUCUAGAUGAAAAACUGAAGUUCGAAAGAUAGAAAGGUGACUACUACUCAUCCAUAUCACUACCACAACACCACUUCACAAUGCUCAACUAAAUCAAGGUAGAUCACCCCACACUUAAAUAGUUCGAAAUAGGGAAAUGAGGAACUGAAAACACCUAAGUACAUGGCAUGCUAGAUAAGCGUCCUCGUCAACAUUACAACAUCUUAAGAUUUCAUUCGGCAAAAAAUAUUCACCCUAGAAGAACUAAUUAAUCAAAAACCCCUAACAUGAGGGUAGGAGAUCACCAAAGAGAGUCAUUAAGCAUAAUGAACAUGGCAAACGGUAAGCAAUUAAGUUCAAAUUCGUUUCAAAACCCUAACAUAUCAUCAGUUUCGGCAAGGCGAGGCCAAUUGCACAAAAUCACACACUUCAAAAAAUUAGGGUUCAUGGGUGUGUAACACACCUCGUGUAUUAUCAAUACACGUCAUGGGUUACCAAUACACAGCGUGUAUUGUCAAUACAUGCCCGUGUGUUAGAAAGCAGCAAUCUCGGAUGAUACAAUACACGUCUGUGUAUUACUAAUACACGACGUGUGUUAUUUUUUUGUUUGCCGUUUCUUCAUCCUCCACACACUUAACAACACAAUGUCACCCCCGAACAUCCGAGAUACCAUUUUAUCAUCCACACUCAAUUGACUCAACAGUAGACACACCACAAGCCUCAAAAGUUGAAUUUUUUUUUAAAAAAAGACUCAAAACUCAGGUUCCCUCCCGAGAAGGGAUCUUUCUUUUACGUCUUUGAGCUAUAUGAUACCUGGAUUAGGCCGCCCAACUUAGAACCUCCUUGAAUUCCAUUAGUUUCUUCAAGGAUUGGAGUUGAAUCCCAUGUAACACCCUAAGAGAUGGAUGGAGAAGACGGUGAAGUGGUUGUGAGCUCCAAUUCAUGCCUAGAAGUGACAUUCUCUUCUUAACCGCUAAUGAUUAAAAAGGGAAGAGGUAGUAUGGUGUAUCGACACUUGUAUCCUCAAUUAUCCCUGAUCCAAUAGUGUAUCUUGAGAAUUCCUUUGGGGCAUACAAGUUUGGUACUGAGAUAGUGUCCUCUCUAAUCUUGUGUGUGAAGCACUCAUUAUCAGUAUCCUGAGAAUUUACUUUAUCGUACCUCAGACAGCCUAAUUGCUUCGUUACUCUGGGCUAUGAAUUCAUGAUUUUGGGCAAUAUAUUUGUCCAAAAGUUUAUUUGUAUAUGUAUUCUUAGCAGUCGGAGGUUGAUAUGAAUCAUUACUUAAAUAUUGAUUGUGAAAGGAGUGACAGUCUUCAUUGUAGCUUUGGUGGUUGUACGUUGUUGAUGAGUCUUGAAAACAAGAUGGUGUAGAUUGGUCCUGAUUCCUAUAUGAAUUUGAUUCUUGCCCAAAUUUGUUCCAUUGUUGAUGCUCUCCUUCAUGAUUAGGUUGGUAGUAGCUUGGUGAACCUUGGUACUCAUAAUAUUGGUUGGUGAAGAACCCCAACCUUCAUCGUAGUUACCUUCAGCACAGGAACCUUGCCACUAUCCAUUCGAACUGUAAUCUUGCAUAAUGGAACUCAAGAUAAAAAACCCCGAUAAACCAUGUGAGAGGAAAUAGAUAUGAUAGGAAAAGUACAGGGAUAGCUAACAAUCAAAAUCUUCCUACAAUUUAGAAAAGUCCCCGGCAACGAUGCCAAUUUGACGAGCGGAUUUUACCCCGCUAAUCAAAUACCCACUAGAAUGAACUAAUGGAAUCGUAUUUCCCUAGGGUCUUUCUAUUGCUAUUACUCAAAUUGAUUAUGAUAACUAAACUAAGUAACAGUGAACGAUUGUUUGUAUGAUUAUUUUUAUAAUCAAUUAUCAACGAAGUAUGCAAAUCAAAAGAAAGAAAAUGCAAGAGAUUGAGUUUCAAAUAUGGAAUGAAAAAAGUUCGGAUUUGAAUCCACUAAACCAAACAAUGCAUGGAUAAACGAUAUGCUAUUGUCAAUUAUUCAGGUUAUACCGGCUUGGCUAUUUCCUACGACAGUCUUAGAUCACUCUCGCGCCUCUAAGGAUCUAUUCUGCUCGACCAUAGACUCCUCUGUUGAGCUAAUCUACACCCAAACAGAACGCACUAAACGUGUUCGAUGAAAUUCCAUAACGAUAAUGAUGUAAAAAACCUAAACGAUAUGUUCCUCUAUCGAGCUAACGAAUAACCUAGAGUUCUUCCUAAGCGUCCUAUUGAUGUGCAUUUCUCUCGGACCCACACAUCAAUGACUAUCAUUAAAUUAAGGCGAUCAAACGAAAUUGAAUUAGAAAUUAGGUUUAGCAAGAACACAUCAUAAGUCUGAAUUACCUUAAUAACAUAUCAAAGGGUUAAUACCCCAUCAUCCAUACAAAAAUGAAGCUAAAGCUUCAUCUCAUCCAAACAACACGAAAGGUUUAGCUACUCAUGGUUCGGGAAACAAGAAAGGUAGAAGAAAGGAAAAUAUCCCGGAAGAAAACAUGAUUCGUCGAUAAACUUCUGCCUUAUCGCCCAUCUUUUUCUCUCGAUUGUCAACAUGAAAGUUGCAAGAAAUUAAAUUAGAUUUCCAACACUGCUGAUAUUGAAUCAAUCAGACUUCUGAGCGACGCAUUGUGCUCAAAAUAGUAAACUGCGAUGUUUUCUUCCCAAGUCAAACAUAUUGAGUUGUUCCAGCCUCCCCGCCAUGCCUUGAUUCAUCCCGAGACGUCAUAUGACACCUGAAAUACCCAAGGGGCCAAGGGUGAAAAACCCAUGAAACACCCCAAAUACAAUCAAAAUGAGACAUCCAAGCAUCCAAAAACGUCGUUUAACGCGGGAAUAAUGAUAUGAGCCGGAACACACGAAUAACGACGACCGAGACAAUCUAUCAAAAUAAGGUUUUCAAAACUCAAACAAAUCAAACAACCGGAUGAACUAGUUACCUAGCCAAUCAAUCGAACACAAGGUCGAAGGGAGGGUCUAAGUCUCACAAAUCUAAGGUGCUACAAAGAUUGGGUGAUAACCCGACUACGGUAAACCGAAUCCGCUACCUAGCAAUGACGUACUAAAAAUAAAACGAAUUAUAAAAACAGCAUAAGUCGAAAUUUGCUUUCUUAUUUCAGGGGGGUCUUAUUUCACUAUGGUGGCUGAUCCCUCUUUAUAUAGGAGAGGAAGGCCACAAAAUUACAAGGAGAAAUAAUAAAAUAAAGGGUUAGAAGAGUCCUUGCUAGGCAAGUGCUCUUCUUCCUUUGGGAUUAAGUCUUGACUAGGUCAAUGCUUGUUUCCUAAGGAACCCCUUUGGCCAAGGAGCCUUCUAGAAGGAGUCCUUGGUUCUACCUAUACUAAUCCUAUCAACUAAAGGAAGAACAAAACACAAUCCAAAUCAAAGUUCACUAAAGAAAACAAUAAACGGAUAAUGGGGUCACUUAAGCUCGAAUGGGCUUAGUGAGUCGUACGCCUUGGUGGAAGGUAGAUGGCCUGAUCUCAGGAUUUGUAUACACUCAUGGAAGCCCCAUGAGUGAUUAUAGAGCUUCUUGUGUGAGCUAAACUGGUCUAGACUUGAAGUGAUGCAAGAGUCCUCGUUUCGGGGGCACCGACAUCACUGUAACGAGUCCACUUGUGGGCUUUAACUCCAAACUUGUUUUUCCAUGCUUCCAACGUCCUAGUUGGUCUUAAAAUGGCCCAUUAAGCACCUUGUACAGAGAUGGUACGAGAAAAGUCUUCUCAUUUGUGCCAAGGUGCGAUUUGGUGUAAUCCUCCAAAAUUGAUGGACCCAAUUUCGAGCAACGUUGCACUUUUGAAUCCAAAUGAGCCCCAAAUGCUCCCAAAUUCGGGACAUGUCUCUUCUCAUCAAUCCACACAACUGCUCCAAAAUUAGUGCGGGCAAAUUUGAUCUCUUCGCUCAUUCUUGCGAUUCUUUAUACUUGGGUGCGGUCGUGAUGUUGAUGUCAUCAUCGAUGUCGUGGUGCAGCAUCAGUGCCACCCGUCGGAUCGGGAAAUCUUCAAGUGCUCCAUUAUCUUCAUGACUUCAAGACAGGGAUGGCCUUGAUUCCAUCUCCAAGAGUCCUCCAAAAAUGCUCGUUUUGCUCCAAGGUUCUUCGAGUUUGGUGACUUUUCUGUUGAUUUCCUCUGAGGGCUAUUGACUUCUCGAAACCUUGGCAUCAUGGAUUGGGACCGCUGGGUGGGUCUCAUCAAAUAGUUGUGCUAAUAAUGGAGCUUAUCAGGACACAAUGAUAAAGCUUGCUUUCCCGCUUAUGGCUUGACCAAUGGACAUCAGAAACAAUGACUCCAUAAGCCGCCUGAUGGUUUUUAUAAUUGAAAGACCCAUCACAAUGAAUAUUCCGGAGGAUGUCAAAAGGCGAUGGACAAGGGUUCGACGGAAUAUGGGGGGCUGUUUGAGGGAGAGGAGAAAAGUUCGGCAUCGACGGAUGAGGCAAAUCAUUCCACAACGCCACAUCCUGGAGAGCAAACGCGCAUGUGGAAGUAGGCACCGGUGUAGUCGAGUUGAAAACAAAAUCAUUACGGAUCUUCCAAACAUUCUAGCAUCCGGCUGCAAUUAGCUGCAUCUGGAUAUUACUCAUCCGAUCUUUCAAUUGGAAAAACCAAUCCACAAAAGAUGUUCCUGCAUCAGGACGAAUCAAAGAAGGAAACAUAAGAUUUCAAGCAUCACACGCAUGAUCACAAAGAAGAAGGCAAUGAGAAAUAGAGUCAUCUUGGUGGAAAAAAGAGCAAAAAUCGCAUAUGGGGCACAUCACCGAGAAAAUAGGUUGGCAUUGGUCGCCAAACACUUAUUGAUAGAUCGCCAGAGGAAGAAAACCACUUUGGAGGGGCUGGAAUAUUCCAUAACCACUUCCAUUUAGCCUUCUCAACCGUGACACCAAGGUUAUGAGUUGCAGACACACUAAAGCGAGAAUGGAAGUAAGCCAAUCAGAUCGACAUUUUCCAGAGACUUCCGGUUUCCACACCCAAAAGUCCUUUAAAUCAGCCGCUCCAAUAGGAACCUUCAAAAAAGCUCAAGCUAUCUCAGCAGAGCAGAAUGAGUUAAGAAGGUCCUCAUUCGAUCUCUUUUCCUAAUGCAAAACAGCUCCUGAACCUUCUCGAAAUCGCCAUGACAGUCUAGGAAAAAAUUUGAAAGGUCCAGGAUCCAAGGGUCGCCACUCACCCUUGUGGAAUCCCCCGAACCAUUCAUUUUAACACAACCCAUAGACAGGACCAGGAGAGCAUCACAUAAGCUACUCCAAAUCCACAAUGCGUGUCGCCCCUUACCAGCCUCCGGAAAAGAUCGAUUACGAAAGUAUAAGGACUUGAGAAGGUGAGCCCAGGUAGUGUCAGGGUUUGUCAACAAACGCCAGCCCUGACGAGCCAAGAGGUUCUUAUUAAAGCAGGCGAAAUCGCAAAAGCCAAGACCACCCUCAUAGCGGGAAUCACAUAACCGGGAACCCUUGCACCAAUGAAUGGACUUCUUUUUCAUCGAACCAGACUAGAAAAAGAGUCGGAGAAGGUUGUUCAUCUUCUUAAUAAGUUUUGAAAGAAAAGCAAAUAAGCUCAUGAUAUAAGUAGGGAUAGCCUGGGUAAUUGCUGUGAGGAGAGUGAUGCCCGCAUGAGAGAGAAGGAGACCUUUCCAAGCUUGGCCUUGGUUCUCCAUUCGCUCAAUAAGGAAAGAGAACUUCUCCACUUUGGACCGGCCGCAUUCGGCCGGCACUCCCAAGUAUUUAGAGUGAGCACUGUCAUGAGAGAAAGAGGUGCAAGCAUAUACUAGCUUUAAGAUCAUUCGGGCGCACUGAAGAAAAUAGAUGACUUGUUCUUGUUGAUUUCCUGCCCCGUAAUAGCACCAUACCCAUUAAUAAUAUUCAUCACCUCUUGAGCUUCUUGCACUGAGUCCUUCCCAAAGAUCUCCGUAUCGUCCGCAAAUAAGCAAUGAGUAAGAAGGGGGCACCGAGGUUUGAGACGAAUCCCAUUGAUAAUCCGAUUUUCUGCUCCUUUUCAAUCAUAAUAGAUAGUGUGUUAGACAUGAGGAUAAAAAGGAACAAUGAUAAUGGAUCACCCUGACGAAUCCUGUGGGAGGGAGAGAAGAACUCUGUUGGGGAUCCAUUGAACAGAAUGGAGAACCGAAUAGUCUAGAUACACUCCUUCACCCAAUUACACCAUUUAUGAUUAAAAUCGUAAGCCCGCAACAACACGUCCAGGCAUUUCCAAUCCACCAAGUCAUAUGCUUUUCGCAUAUCCAGUUUCAUAAGCAUAUCCAUCUUCUUCCCUUUUUCCUAAUCCGAAAAUGGUGAAGAGCCUCAUGAACAAUAAUAAUAUUGUCUUGAAUCAUGCGGCCUCCAGAGAAAGCACCUUGCAUUUCCGACACAAGGAUAAGGAUCCAUUACUUCAGCCGAAAGCCAUCAUCUUCGAAAUGAUCUUAUAUAUGAAAUUGCAACAAAUAAUGGGUCGGAAUGACUCAUUUUUUUUGGACUUGGGAAUUUUAGGGAUUAGAGCCAGCUAAGCAUCGUUCCAACCGCUAAAUGAAUUUUGGGACGGAGAUAAUCUCAUGAGUAAUUUCUAACCACAUCCAUCCCUAAAUUAUUUAGUAAUUUCUAUUCAUCAUUUAUGUAAUUAUGUUUUCCUUUAACGAUAAUAAUAUUUCAUUUAUAAUGUAAAUUAUAAUCAUAUGUUCUUUUCUUAAAAGUUGGUCCAUUUGCAUAUGUGAAUCCCUAAUAAUUGCUAAUUAUGGGUCAUUUUAUCCUUCACUUUACUUUAGCAAUUGCUAAAAUUUGGAAAUAGAGAUUCCCUAAAUGAGAGCACUGAAUUGAAAUUAUGAUUAAUAUACAUCGAGUACUGAUCCGAUACAACAAAACACUCUGCCGGAUNNNNNNNNNNNNNNNNNNNNNNNNNNNNNNNNNNNNNNNNNNNNNNNNNNNNNNNNNNNNNNNNNNNNNNNNNNNNNNNNNNNNNNNNNNNNNNNNNNNNNNNNNNNNNNNNNNNNNNNNNNNNNNNNNNNNNNNNNNNNNNNNNNNNNNNNNNNNNNNNNNNNNNNNNNNNNNNNNNNNNNNNNNNNNNNNNNNNNNNNNNNNNNNNNNNNNNNNNNNNNNNNNNNNNNNNNNNNNNNNNNNNNNNNNNNNNNNNNNNNNNNNNNNNNNNNNNNNNNNNNNNNNNNNNNNNNNNNNNNNNNNNNNNNNNNNNNNNNNNNNNNNNNNNNNNNNNNNNNNNNNNNNNNNNNNNNNNNNNNNNNNNNNNNNNNNNNNNNNNNNNNNNNNNNNNNNNNNNNNNNNNNNNNNNNNNNNNNNNNNNNNNNNNNNNNNNNNNNNNNNNNNNNNNNNNNNNNNNNNNNNNNNNNNNNNNNNNNNNNNNNNNNNNNNNNNNNNNNNNNNNNNNNNNNNNNNNNNNNNNNNNNNNNNNNNNNNNNNNNNNNNNNNNNNNNNNNNNNNNNNNNNNNNNNNNNNNNNNNNNNNNNNNNNNNNNNNNNNNNNNNNNNNNNNNNNNNNNNNNNNNNNNNNNNNNNNNNNNNNNNNNNNNNNNNNNNNNNNNNNNNNNNNNNNNNNNNNNNNNNNNNNNNNNNNNNNNNNNNNNNNNNNNNNNNNNNNNNNNNNNNNNNNNNNNNNNNNNNNNNNNNNNNNNNNNNNNNNNNNNNNNNNNNNNNNNNNNNNNNNNNNNNNNNNNNNNNNAUGUAUGGAUGGCUCAAUCUCCUUGUGGUUUUAAUUUUCCUAGGGUUUGUUUCAGUACUACUAUAUGUCUCUAAUGGCUACUCUAGGUAGCUAGAUAGAUGGAUAGAUUUGGGGGAAAGUUGUAUCCUUUUCAUCAAAGAUGAUGUUUGAACAGUUGCUGGAAAUUUGUGGUGUCCUUUGGGAAAGCAAUCAUAUAUAUAUAUAUAUAUAUGAAUUUACGAUUCAUAACCGAAAUUAUCCACUGCAGUGCCUCCCCGAACACCUGUUGAUCCGCCUUGCGAGGAAAAUAUGAGUAAUAAUUAUACCUUUCACGGAAUGAUCCUUUUUUUAUUGUGUGUCUAAGUUCACAAAAGUAUACCAAUUUGAUUGGGUCUUACUUGUAAAAUAGGUAAUGGUAAAUAUAUAAUCAUAAUCAUUACCUAAACAUAAAAUUUCUGAAAAAGGAAGAUUGGGAAGAUCCAAUUGAUCCACCCACUUUGGCAUUCAAUUUGCUGGUGGUAGCUAGCUCCAAUCCAUAAUUAUAUAUUAAUAAUUUGAUUAAAUGUAUGGUUGUAUGGUCUUUAAUUAGAAUCGAUAAUACUGAUUCCCGAUCGUGGCCGUCUAUCAGUCGACGCUGACACCUAGAUCUCCACCAACAAACGGAACCCACUGCUCCUGCAAAAUGAAAAUCAAAAGCACCAAUUACUGAAACAACCCGUCGUACAAGAUGAAGUAUCUCUUCCAUCGGCAUCCGAAUCAUCAACUCACCGGAAACGUCCGCUCGCCGUCGGCGGAUGUUGCAGAUUCGCCACUCGGUCGUUUCUUCUAAAUGAUCUUGAUAGGUAGAGUUUUCAGCUUCUUUAAUUCUAUAAAAAUGUAAACCAUACGAUUGUAUCUCUACAAUCCAACGGCCUAUAUUAUAUUAUCUCUAUAACGAUAAUUAUUAGUUCUCUCUUUAUACUAUCCCAAGAGGUAUACUCUGACCGUUGACUGAUUGUGAUGAAUAUUAUCACACGUAAUCAUGAAAUAUAAUAUGUAUUCNNNNNNNNNNNNNNNNNNNNNNNNNNNNNNNNNNNNNNNNNNNNNNNNNNNNNNNNNNNNNNNNNNNNNNNNNNNNNNNNNNNNNNNNNNNNNNNNNNNNNNNNNNNNNNNNNNNNNNNNNNNNNNNNNNNNNNNNNNNNNNNNNNNNNNNNNNNNNNNNNNNNNNNNNNNNNNNNNNNNNNNNNNNNNNNNNNNNNNNNNNNNNNNNNNNNNNNNNNNNNNNNNNNNNNNNNNNNNNNNNNNNNNNNNNNNNNNNNNNNNNNNNNNNNNNNNNNNNNNNNNNNNNNNNNNNNNNNNNNNNNNNNNNNNNNNNNNNNNNNNNNNNNNNNNNNNNNNNNNNNNNNNNNNNNNNNNNNNNNNNNNNNNNNNNNNNNNNNNNNNNNNNNNNNNNNNNNNNNNNNNNNNNNNNNNNNNNNNNNNNNNNNNNNNNNNNNNNNNNNNNNNNNNNNNNNNNNNNNNNNNNNNNNNNNNNNNNNNNNNNNNNNNNNNNNNNNNNNNNNNNNNNNNNNNNNNNNNNNNNNNNNNNNUCUACAUUGUUUUCAUUUAUUUAACUAUGAAAAAGCAUAUAGGGAAUAAUAAUGCUGAACUCACUCUUGUAUUUCAUUCUUUUAUACAUUGAAGUUUGUACGGAUUCACUAAAUUUGGUAAUAUAUGGAAUUGUUUUAUUAGAAGCUAACAUGAUUUAAUUCUACGACUUCUCAAUCAAAUAAAAAAGUUGUAAUAUUAUGUAAAAAAUUGCAUUUCAAUAACUUCUUAAAUGGUUGAGAGAGGUUAAUAAUUAAUUUCUAUAAUAUUAUUUUACCGCAACAAUUUAUUCGACCACAAAUUUCUUUAGUCCCUUUAACAUUAUAGUCUUCGAAAAAGAAUUUAUAGCUCAUAGUUGUUAUGUUAAAUAAUUAUUAGUAUAUAAAUUAGUACUUUUUUCCUGAAAUAGAGUACUUGUACUAUUAAAACUCAUGGUAAAAGUUCAUCAACACGAGAAAAGGUUGGUGAUUUUCAAAUAGGGUUACCAUAAACACUGAUAGCCUGAAAAUGGCUAUCCCUCCGGUUAAGCCUUUUAUUCCUGUUGGCAGGAGCUAAUGCUCAACCCUAACCUUUUUCUCCAAAAUAUGAAAACCUGCCGAAGAAAAGAACGGUGAACGCCAAACUAAAGCGACCAACAAUGUUACCAUGCAUGACGCUGAAAUCCUACCCCUCUCGGAGGAAUACUUAAUUCUUUAAAUGAUUACUUUUGAAUUUGUAUAAUGAAGAAGAAUUAAUAAUAAAAAAAGAGAAGAAAAAGCAGUUGCGCAGAGCCACGCCAUUUCAGUUUUGAGAAGCUCGAUGCAAAUUAGAUGAAGGAUUGCACUCAUUAACUUUAUUAUUAUUAUUAUUAUUAUAAACUCUCUUCCAUUACAGAUAAAGACGAGUAUUUAUGAUUGUCUACAUAAGGCAGGAGAGAACUAACUAUCUUCAUGGAAGUUCUAUCAUGCUAAGUAUCACUCAUGUUUACAUGUUCCUUGUACACAUUUUCUAUACACACGCCAUGUACACAAGUGAAAUACACAACUUGGAGUCUAGUGGUCAGCGGCGGAGUAUUCUCUCUUUAUCUACAGUAAACAUUUCAUAUAAUUGUACUCUACAUAUUUCCAUAAUCGUACAUACACACGACCUUAUAGACCUGCACACAAUAUAAUAGACAGCGAAAGAUUUUGAUGGAAAAGUUCAACGUUUCUAUCUUGUACUCAUUUUUAGGCUUGCUUUUUGCAGCAGUACACGAUUUCUACACAUGUACAUGGCUCUAUACUAGGCAUGUUCACAAACGAAUGUACGCAACGAUGGUGACCAAUGAAGAACAAUGGUAAAGAGCAGCUGGCAACAGAGAUGGUGUGGCUAACAAUGGAGUCGUACAAGUGAAGAACGAAUGGUGAUUUUCUAUUUUUUUGCUCCAACAAACUGAACUAUAUCGUCAGAUCAUUAGAUUGACCACUCAAGUCCGAGUUUGAUACCAUCAUUCAAAGUCUUCUCUCUCUUCUGCAGAGCAUAAAUAAUCACCAUAUCUUUUGGUAAGCCUCUCAGAUCCAUAGCAUUUCUUAAGAGAAAAACAUUACUACCUUUUUUGCUUAAAUAAUAUUACAAAUGACAAAAUCACAACCAGCAGCAGACCAUAAUCUUCCAGUAGCAGAUAACAAAUCCAUACGAAAACAUGAAUUUGAAUUCAAAGGUUUAUUUUUUCUUCUUGCCCCUCUUUUUACCACUAGUUGUUUCCACCUCUUCUUGUUCUUCAGCCUUUUGCUCCUCCUCCAAUAUGGCCAACUGCAAAAAUAAGCCAACUUUUUUUUUGUAAAUAAAUGUGGACUUGACAUGAAUCAAGAUAUGGAACCUUGUGGCUACAAGAGAGCACAGAGGAAACGAUCACUUACCUCAUCAAGAAUUGGUUUAAGCUCCCUGUAACGCCCUUCAGCAAGAUCGAAACCAUCUUUACGAAGCUCCUGCAAAUCAACACUCGAAACCAUUAGCACAAUGCACUGAAAUCAUAAGCCAGACUUGGAACAUAAACAAAAACACCAAUCAUGCCAAACUACACAAGGAAAUCUAUUCUCCUCUCUUCCGUAAAGAAGUUGAUUUAAUAAUUAAUAUUUCCAAUAUAAAGUGAGGUUAAUCAUAAGCUUUACAUCCUCACAAUUCACAAAGUUGAAGGAACCGACCUUCCCAGUGUGCUGUGUAUGUUCGUGUGCUGCCAUUUGCCAGUACAUAUUCGUACGCUUAUAAAAAUCCCUCAAAGAUUCUCCAGGCUUCACAUUGAAACAAGAAGAGACGAGCAACCAGUUAGCAAAUUGGAGGAAUAUAUCUCACCUCUUGGUAAACUAAAAAGAAGAUUUCAUGUUGGCAACUGAAUUUUUAAACUUGAAGACCAAUGAGAUUGAACUGGUAUGGAAUGAUAGAGAUGACAAGAAAAGGAUAGGAGAAUACUAUUGGUGUUCUUUGUGAAUCUGAAAGGCCAAGGCUAGCUCUGAUUUGUUCUAUCCUUGCUCGUUUCUCCUUCCUCCGAAGCUUCUUUUUCUCACCCUUUAUUAUAGCAACUGCAUCUCCCACUUGAAGUGAUCCGGAAGCAUCAUUCACAGCCUAUCGGUUCAGAAAUUAAGGUACAUGAGUAAUUUUGCAAGCUAUAACAGAUAUACUUUUUAUACUACACAGAAUGUCAGGAAGGAAUAGCAAAUCCACAUUUCAGCAUACUUACCUCUGUGUCAUCCUCAUCCUCAUCUUCGUCAGAGUCAUCCAUAUCGCUGUCAUUACUAUCCUCAUCAUUGCUUGCAUCUUCAUCUUCUUCAUCAUCAUCAUCCUCAGAGACUUCUACCCAUUCAGAUUCAGAUGCCUAAAUGGAAAGGAAACCGUGGUCAUGCCCAAACAACUCAUAUGUUAGAGGCUACAAAAUCAAGACACCACUAUACUUGUAACAGACUCUAAUUGUCAACCAUGCUCACAAUACAUAAAUUCAGGGAAUAAGCUUCAGCUAUCUCUGAUGCUACUGUGAGGACUGUAUUAGCCAUCAGAUUAACAUGGCAAAGAAUGAGUUGUUGACACUAUGAUCUAACUUCUAAAAAUGCAACCUAGGUGGAGCAUGCCCAACUUCCACGAGUGCUUGAUAUACAUAAGUACUCGGAGAAUAAAAAGACGAGAGUGCUGGCUUGCCCAUCCAAAAUCCAUUAAGAUCCCAUUUCUAUAAAAAAAUAUCCAUCUAGAUUCUGCCAUUUGGUAGCUAAAACAAAAGAAGCUUAUCCCCUUUACACGAAUCAAAAUGCCAGUAACCAACCACCGUACGAGCAGUACCCUAACUACGGAAAGUUCUUUUGAGGAUAUAUGCAUAACGAAAUUAACUGAAAGGCCAUCCUUAUAAAAUCAAAGUAUCCACAAAACUAUAUUUUUCUUCCAAUAGAACUACAGCAUCAGAAAAAUUAAGAGUUGCUGGUGAUGAAUCUAAACCACUCGAAAGACUAAACGUAUCCAUCAAAACCACAAAGCACGAAGAAAAAAAGAUGUAGAGAAUGAAAUGUGACAGACCGGGAUGAGGCAUUUCCAUUCGUCAAGUUUGCUGAGAUUGAGUGAAUACAAAUCGUCAAGUGUUAUUUCCUGAUCUUUGACUUCCAUCAUUCCACCGUACAUGUAUAACGUAUCUCUACUGACGACCACAGAAGAGUUUAUACGUCCACAGGGCUUCACUAUCUAAAAUACGGAAGCAUAUUAGAAUUGAAGUUCAAGCAUAAAAUAUUCACGAGAGAACCAAAUCUGACAGUGACAAACCUCAGGGAAAGCUGAGCUUUGCACCAUCUUGGCCUUAGAAGCCUCAACCUUUACUCCAACUUUAGUGCUUGAAGAGCCAGCAUCUGCUACAUUCAAGUUUGUAUCCAUAUUCUCAGAGAUCAGAUCAACUUUGGCUUCAUCAAGGUCCUCCAUGGUCUCAUCAAUUUCCAUAUUGGAACAGUCUUCUGCUUCAUUUAUACUAGUACGUGUUUGACUUUCUGAACUUUUUUUUAACUGCGAAGAAAUAUAAAGUGCAACGUUUACGUUCGCAGGCUUAUGGACCCAUAUUCACACACUGAAAGUACAAAUGGACUUCAUCAUGAAGUUUCAUGUUAGCUAAAUUACUGCUUGGAUAAACCUUAUCUUUUGUGGACUUUUCCUUCCGCAACUCCAAUGGAUACCUAUAACCAUGAGAGUGAAAAAUGGCAUGGUUAAGCAGGAGAUAUUAAGGCAAAGGAAAUAUAUACAUUACUUCUUUUCAACGUAUAAAACAUCUGUAUGGAAACAAUAAAACAGUUAAAGCAAAUUAAAGUAUAUCAACAUAGCUUGUACAUAGCUAACUUAACAUCAAUGCUUUUAGAAAACAAUGCCAGAAACUAAUUACCAUCGAUGGUUGUCUAACUGGAAGCCAUAGAGUUCAUUUAGAAAUAAGCUCAUCAGUACAUCACCUGCAGUAACAAAGCCAGAUAACCACAAUCCAUGAUAUACCGAAGGAAUACAUAGUCCAUGGCUAACUAAUAGAGAUGCCAGCCUGAUUUAUGACUGUUGAUUAACAGACACUCAAAAUAAUGGAAAAGAGUAAGAUGUGACAAACAUGAUAAGAAAUAGCCCUCCAAGUUCAUACUGUCAAAGAACUGCAAUAGUUGGCAUCAAACAUAUACAAGCCAUAAUCUUAUCUCGAUAGAUGUGAUAAUAACUUUCAAGAUGAUAUAACUGACCUUCCAUUUCCAUAUCCACCACUCCCCCAAACAUCACAGCACGCUUCUUGUGCACACAUAUAGAAAAGCCAGCACGAGGCCCAGGAGGCAUCCCACUCUUCUUUACCUAUACAUAUUUAUCGGCAAUUAUAAUUUAUAAACAAGUUAUUCAUUAGGAAGAAAAAAUAAUUUGCACAACCACACAAAAAAAAGUAACCAGAAUGGUUGCAAUUAUCUUUGUUAUGCAUGGGAUUAGACGAGCAUGAGCAAUCGAACCUUGUUCCAUUCCCACGUUCUUGGAUCAAGGGACCACAUGUCUGCGUGGACAUUUCCUUUCUCUGUGUUACCCUUGUCGGAGGUAACCUCCUUAGAGUAGCCACCAUACAAAAAUAUCUCCAGGAAAAAAAAGCACCACAUUAUUCAUCCAUUUAUCAGGAAUUCAUAUAAACAAUGACAUCCAGAGCAAUGGAAGAUGGCAAAUAAAUCAAGUAUUAACUAAAACAUGCAAGAUCACACAGUAACAGAAGUGGAUGACACAGGUGGUAUAUGCUGCAAAGGGGAAAUUUAAGGAGGUUUUAUCUCAGGCUUUUAGAAUUAGUAGCACGGACAAUGAACACCACAAUAAUAAUCCCACAAAGGUUAAGAAAUAAGAUAUCUACGUGAACAUGCACGUGCGUCACAAUGCACGCAAAUCAAUAGCUUACAGAAUAAUGUCACCAGAAAAAUUGGAAAGGGCUCGUAACGGAACAGCUUAAAGUACAAUAACAUAAGUUCUUCUGAAAUGUUUUCCAAUAUGACGGUCUGAUUAAUAAGAUUACAUACCGCUGUAAAAGCAUAUGAUACUGAAAUGCCCAAAAGCAAUUUAACCAGCAGAUGUUGUUCAUAGUGUCCUACUUUCACAUACCUCAUCUUGAUAAACAAAGAACUGAAAACCACUCCGUGCACUAGGCCACAACGCUCCAAGCUUUGGCUUAAUUUCUAGCCACUGCAGAUUCAACCGCCACUUAAAUGUCAAUUCUAACUUUCACGGGAUCUCUACUUAUAUGACAAUAAGAUGACCAGCCAACAGAUAAGUAGUCAAAGUGUUCACCUUGAACUGAUCGAGGUCAAAGAUAUGCAAGUCAUUGUAAUACCUGCAUAGAUGCAGCAAGGCACUUGAGCAACAAACUCAUAGUCGUUUACUGAAUUGAUUUAACAAAGCUAAAAUACUGAAGUAACAAAAUGGGAAUGGUAAAAUAUAAGCAAUCAUCUUUGAAUCCGAUUGACCAAGACCAUAUCCGUUAACUUCACUCUGGUUGAAAGGAUGGCAUUGAAAGGGUCAGUUAUGCAUUUUUGUAAAAUCGUAUAUUUAAGACUUAAUAAAGGUAGAGCAAAAAAAGCAAUGAGUUUAUUUCAAGCUAAAGUGUAAACAUUACAAAUCUUCGAAUGAAUUCAUAGAGUCCCAUUAACAACCUUACUUCUCUGAGAGUGUCAUAGAAGCCACCAAAAAGAAUUAUUUUGUGCUUGUAUAAGACCUGCACAGGACCAAAUAGUAGGAGAGAUAUCCGCAUUAGAGACGGACUCAAAUACACAUUCAUAAAAGAGACAAAUACAGAAUGCAACUUUGUUUAUCUUGAUGUUUAUGACACAUCAACUUUCAAGGGCAAGUUGACUAACCAUCCGAUGACCUGAACGAGGACUUGGGGUGCCUUUAUAAUUAAGCUGCUCCCACUGAUUUGUUUUGAGGUCAAACACCCAGAAAUCCUGUGACAGAGAAAGCCACACGUAGCACUCUGUUAUUUUUAACCCUCAGAGCCCCAAUCCGCCAUACUAUUAAUAUGUAUUACACUAUCACUACACAGUUGUCACCUUAUAGUGAUGGAAGCGCUCUUGAUUUGGAGAUGUGAACUCACCACCUGUUCAAAAAAUAGGUCAUUGAGCUUGUUGCAAGUCAAAGACUCAAGUGUUCUCCAAGAGAAAUCAGUCAUUGACUGUUACCAAAGAUGUAUAGAUAAUUCUUCCAAGCAAUUGCUUGAUGAGCACUUCGUGGAGGUGGACUAUUGGGGCUUGAUAUCGAUUUCCACUCUUGCUUCUCCACAUCGUAACGGUAUAAAUCGCCAUAAACAAAUGUCUGCAGCAGUUCCAAUUAAUUAAUGCAAUGUCUAAACUUCAUAUCAAAGUUAUAGUCACGAAUGAUACUUAGUAGUUAUGUUAAACAGUGUUGCGGGGAAGCAAACCUUGCUGCCAUUGUAGAAUUCACCUCCAUAGAGGAUCAACUCGGUCUCUUUUAACGGAUUAAUGCUCAGCUAAACCAUUGAAAAACACCAGAGUCAUAAAGCAGCAAAGCAAGGUAAAAAGAACCUAAUUUAACCAAAACAACAAGUUGAAAACUAGCACUGCAGAUCCUUACCGUACAGUUGGAUCGAGGAGAGGGUGCAGGGACAUUAUCGUCAACCUGGACUUCCUUCUUCUUUGCUUCCUCUUUCUGUAUGCUUAACUGGAUAACCAAAUCCACAACCCCAAUCAUUUUCAACGAAACGAGAAGAAUUUGGAACUAUGAAAAUCCGGAAAUCAGUUUCAGCUUCAGUACAACGGGUAAACAGUGUACACAGAGGAUGAUGAGAGGAAGCUCAACUGACUCAUCAAAAUCAAUAAUUGAUUGGCUCCCAAAACAACAUGAGCGUACAACUCCAGCCCGCUCGGAGAAACUCUAACUAAAGCAGAUUAUUUAAACCAUCUGAUUAAACGAGGGAAACAAAUAACGAAACGGGAGGGAAGUAUUUCGUACUAAAAUGGCGUCAAUGUCGUCUUCAGGGGAGAGCUUCUUGGCCUCUCUGCGAGCCUUCUUCUCCUCGGCUUUGAGAGUUUUCUUCUCCGUCUUCUCUUUUCCUUUUCCAGGCUUUUUAGUUUUCUUCCCCAUAGCGCUCUGCUCAGCUCAAUCAACCGAACUUCUCCGCUGCUCUUCCGGCGCCGCCUACGUUCUCUCCGGUCAGGACCACCGAUACUGAGCAAGUAAAACGAAGUGAAGAACGGCCCAACUCAUAUGAUGGCAAAACGGAGGUUUUAAAGGAUCCGUCUCUCUCCCACGAAAUUACGACAUCGUUUUGCAGUACCCUGAACCCUAAACCCAAACCAAAAAAAUCGCUACAAAAAAUAGACUAGCAGAAGAUGACAAAAUUUUAACUGCCAUCUUCACAUUUAAGAAGAAAUGAACAAAUACAGAGAAAAGCAGAAAGCAGCGAAGCAGCAGAACAGGAGGCAGUGGUAGAAAACGAGGGGAAACGAGAGGGGGUGGACAACAAGAAGAAUCACUAGCAGAAGGAUGAAAACUCUCCCCCGCAGUAACUCGUCAAUCACAGAGAGAUGGCGAUGAUUAUCCCUCCGCCGGAAUAAAGCCAUCAACAGAGAACGCAAAGAGGAAUCGUCUGCGUUUGUCAUUCCUGCUAAAUAAUUGCGUUGCUUAGCGUCACAGCAAUGAGGUAAUCGCUGUUUUGAUACUUUCUUCAGUCAGUCACACGCAUACAAAUGCUUUUACUUGGUUUCAGGAUGCAAUGAAAAGGAAGUUUGGUCAUCUAACCACCUAACCCAACAUUUUUUCACAAGUUGCUCAUUAUUGUAAUCCGAAUUUAGCGGGUUUAUUUUUUAAUGGCAAAACCAAUCAUCCGAGUAAAUUAGAGGGAUGAUCGUUGGACCUUGGAUUGUUGGAAUUCGUUGGAGAUACGUCAAUGUUUAGGGUUUAUGGCGAUUAAAUAUGAAAACCAGCAAAAGAUGAGAACAUGAACAAACAAGAGAGACUGUUGUAAUGGAAGCUGUUGUCUGAAGUUACAGAAGUACUGAUUAUGUUUUGUUGCUAAACUUUAAUCUCUAUCAAUCUAUCUAUUAAUGUCUUGUUGUCUUCGAAUUCUGGAGAAUUGACAUGCAGGAGUAUAGGCCAGUCCAGUGUCAAAUUCCACAAUCUCUAUUACUUUAUGCAUUAUUGUGCCAACCAGUCUAUCUAUUGAUGACUUACUGGUGCUUCUUUUGAUGUGCAGGCUGCUGGUUAGUCAUAUGAUUCUGUUUGCGCUUUCUCAAGAUGAUCACAAAAUUCUCAAUACCUGCAGGUGGACAUGAAUUGAAGAAAAGUACUGGAAGAGAUGGUGGAUGGGCUGCUUCAGAACAGCAGGUGAACAGCUUUUGUAAACAGCUACUUCGGAACAGUUUUUGUGAAAAGCAGCUGCUUUAGAACAUUCUACAUAGAAUUCGGGGGGAAAUUAUCUAUUCGGUAUCUCGGAUCCUGUAUUUGAAUUCCGGUUCCCGAAUUAUAAGUCCCAAUUAAAAGUUUCGAGUUAGAUUUGGGUUUGGGAACGGGACUUCUUUUCCGGAUUUGGGAAUUCGGAGAUCUCAAUACAAAUACUCUCUCUUUACUAGGAGGCUAGUGAGCUUUCUCAUUUCUCCCAAUGGUCGCCCCAGCUUUCAUUUUCCAGAGAAGUCUUAACCGAAUUUUCUCCGCUAAUCUCCGCAGGUGCGUCUGACUUAUCUCCCUUCUCUGAAAGAUAUUCCACAUUUCAUUUGCCAUCUCUUUCCAUCCUAUUUAAAUUUAUACACCUCUCUAUACCUGGGUUUUUUCUGGUUCCAUGGAUUUUUUUCUGCCUGCAACGGUGCUUCUCUUUUCUCCCUUUCAAGUUGGUUGUUGUAUUUUAGUGAUGCCGUUAGACAUGUAGCAAGAAGUUUCAAUGAUUGCUGAAGGAGGAUAAGUAAAGGGAUAUUUCUUUUUCCUGUUGGUCCAAAGUUUCCCUUCUGGUCUCUCUUGAUUAAUGGUUAAACUGAUUUUGUGAGGGUGAUUGGCAUGGUUUCUGCCCAAGUGCUACAUUUGAAGGAUUUUGUAUAUGUCAAAUUUUUGGAGUUAUCCGAUUAUGGAUUAUAAAUUAUUAAAUUUUGCCUUUCCUCAGGGCACCUUCGGUCUGCUUGGGCUUUCGACAUCAGGGUUUCUCUUCCUUUCCCAGUCUCGGUUCUGCUUCAAGGCCUUCCAUCUUUACUACCUCAGCAUUUUCAAGAGGCUGUGGAAUUCCAAGGUCUUUUCUUCCUGUUCCAUGUGCAUGUUUUCCUCAUUUCACAUAUUUGCGGAGGAUCAACAAGUUCUCUAGUCCUGUUUUAUGCAGAAAAUUCACCAAUACGACGAGAUGCAUGAGCUGCCGUUCUGUUCAACUGAAGAUGUACGGUGAUGUAAUUAAGUUUGCUGAUGAUAAACAAUGGAAAGAAGGCAGUUCACCCAAGGGAGAGAGGAAAUCAAACAAGUAUAAAAUGUCUAAGAGGGCUAAAGUGAAUGAACUCAGAUUCUUUCGGCUCAAGGCAAAAAAGAAGAUAAAUUCGCCAAACCCAGAAGUGAGGAUCAGAUAUAAGCUUGAAAAGGUUCGUCUUUCUUUACAAUAUCAGCUUCUUUGGUAAAUGGUUAUCCAGAAAUGAGUGACUUUUUGAGAAAUUGUCUGCAGAGGGUUACAGCUUCGUUUUAUGCUCUUCAUGCAACUAUGCAAUUACAAUUUGAAUAAACUUCCUCGAAACAUCAAGUUGUACAGCAUCCUCAUGAUUAUGUUAUCACCUACAGUUGUCGCCCCUACACUGAAAUUGCUUUGCCAUAAUUUUCUUCGCAAUUGAAUUACUCCUCCUGUAAACCUUGUUUUCAUAUUUUAGUGUGAAUUCAUUAGGCCAAAAGGAAGGAGGCAUGGUUGAUCGAGAAGCUGAUGAAAUUUGAGCUUGCCAAGGGUCAACCCGAAACCUAUGAUCCUGAAAUAUUAACAGAGGAAGAGAAGCAUUACCUGAAGCGCACUGGUGAGAAAAAGAAAAACUUUGUUAUAGUUGGGAGGCGAGGCGUUUUUGGAGGUGUUGUUCUCAAUAUGCAUCUCCACUGGAAGAAACAUGAGACGGUGAAGGUUAUUUGUAAACCCUGCCGUCCGGGACAAAUUCAUGAAUAUGCCAAUGAGCUUUCUCGACUGAGUAAAGGAAUCGUGAUCGAUAUAAAGCCAAAUGAUUCCAUCAUAUUCUACAGGGGCAAGAACUAUGUGCAGCCUGAGGUUCUAUCCCCUCCAGAUACCUUAUCAAAAGCGAAGGUAUAUAUUCAUUUAUACAUGCCUUUUCAUGUCAUAUGGUGGCUUUCUUUGGAUUGUUAGGUUGGAUUCUUAAACUGCAUUUAACUGAAUUGUUCAAUGUAUUGUUGGGACAUGUUUGGUACAGGCUUUAGAAAAAUGCAAGUUCCAGCAAUCACUUGACCAUACGAGUCAGUUCAUCGAGAAGCUGGAGAAAGAGCUUGAGGAGUAUCUGGAGCAUGUCGUGCGUUACAAGAGAGUCAAGGAUGAAGUGCAGGAUGCCUGAUAUGGACAAUAAUCAAAUUACAAAGGGUGCGGUAUAAAUGUGAUUGCUGGACGAGAAACUAUCAGUUUAACCGAAGAAGCCGUUACUCUUUCCUCUUUUCGAGACCAUUGGUCAGGCAGUGCUUGUCGACGAUUGUGCUACCCCGCUCAAAUCUUUGAACAAUAGUGUGGUGGUACUGGUAAUUGCUUCCGGCUAUACGUGAAGGCUUGCUUGAUCUGGAGCUUGUCCGGGAUGCGGUCUCAAUAGUAGUGAAUACUGAAUAUUAUAUCAUUUCACUAGCUCCCAGAGUUGUAAACUUUGCAGUAAACUUGUUUCAGCGCUGGACUUAUUGUACAACCUUACUAUUGUUUUCAUCUUCUAGGUAGAAUAAACUAGCCUUCAUUAGAAUUAUAAGUUUUUGUUUUUACUUCGCCAGUUCUGAAAAUUGUGACAGAAAAUAGUGGACGUUGUGGAUUGUGGGAUGGAAUCUUAAGUAUUUUUUCAUUCGAAUGGGAAAUUUAGAUUCUAAUAAAGUAUAUUUUUGGAGCUAACUUUUUCAUUCCCAUAGAGUCUGGUUCCGCAGCAAAUACUUCACUUAUUUGUUGUCGGCAAACAAAAAAAGGAAGUAGCAAAUUCUAUCUACAAAAGCACAACAUAAAUAACUAUUGAAUGGAUAAUGUUUGGUUUUCUUAUGAGGCAUUUACUUUGAGCUUAUGAGAGUUCUUUGAACUCAUAUAUCAUCUUUCAUGGGUCUUGUGGCAUUUUCAAUUCUUCAAUUGAUAUGGCUUAAAUGGUCUCACGCUUUCAUUUUGCUAAUUACAAAAUUGUUNNNNNNNNNNNNNNNNNNNNUGCUAUUUACAAUAUUGUUUGUUAUACGUUUUCCGUAGUAAAAGAAAAGUUCAUCUAUCUCCACUUAUUGUCUUUUUUUUUUUGUAACUUCGCGGGGAUAAUUCUAGUUUGUCUUACAAUUAGAAGACUUUUUAAAUGAAAAAUGGUUCAUGUGGUGCAUUCCAUCUCCGAAUUUAAUUGUCUGCACUUCUAGAAAAUUAUAAAUAGUCUCGAUCUAUCUUCCUAACAUCCACAGUUCAGUAUGAUUCCUCCCACAUGGAUUCUGAUGGAAUCUCUAAUUACUCUAAACUGAGUACAAAAAUCAAGUACAACAAACUUAACACUAAAAAUCAAGUACAAGUAAAAUGAGUACACAACCCACAACAACAACACAAAUUACGUACAUAAUUAUAUCCCUAAAUCAGGUACAAAAAUCAAGUACAUAACCCUAAACUUAAAUUUUAGCACAAAAGCAAAAAAAAAAANNNNNNNNNNNNNNNNNNNNNNNNNNNNNNNNNNNNNNNNNNNNNNNNNNNNNNNNNNNNNNNNNNNNNNNNNNNNNNNNNNNNNNNNNNNNNNNNNNNNNNNNNNNNNNNNNNNNNNNNNNNNNNNNNNNNNNNNNNNNNNNNNNNNNNNNNNNNNNNNNNNNNNNNNNNNNNNNNNNNNNNNNNNNNNNNNNNNNNNNNNNNNNNNNNNNNNNNNNNNNNNNNNNNNNNNNNNNNNNNNNNNNNNNNNNNNNNNNNNNNNNNNNNNNNNNNNNNNNNNNNNNNNNNNNNNNNNNNNNNNNNNNNNNNNNNNNNNNNNNNNNNNNNNNNNNNNNNNNNNNNNNNNNNNNNNNNNNNNNNNNNNNNNNNNNNNNNNNNUUGUGCUUAAAAAAGAAGAGAGAUCUGGCGCCGAAAAAUAUAUUCAAAUAAGCUGAAAAAAUAAAAAAAUAAAAAUGAUAAGUAUACCCUAAUUUAAAUUGUCUAUUUUAUCUGUUAGAUGUGGCUCUUAAAAUUNNNNNNNNNNNNNNNNNNNNNNNNNNGUGGCUCUUAAAAUUGAUGGUUCAGAUUGCUCUUUGCUGCCAUCAAAGAGAAUUAAUUUCUUUGUUGCCGACCUUAAUUUCCAAAUUUCAUUUUAUAAUUCACUUUGCAAACGGCUGACUUCAAUUUCGUCGUAUUUGACGAUUUCACUGGGAAUUCGAGCUCCUUGAUGGAAAAUAAUACCUAAUAAGAUGGCAUAUCGUGUAAAACUAGCUGGAAUUGCCAAUUUCCUUUCAAUUUAAAAGGAAUUAAAUUCUUGAUAAGAGGUGAAAUUGCACUCUGAACGAGGAGAUUUAAUUGCGGUAGACUUAGACAAGUAUGGAAAACAAAAGAAUUUGAUCAAUUCCACUAGAAUUGCUUAAUUUCGUGGCCGAAAACAACCUCUAACCUUACUUUUUGGCAGUAAAUUAUUACAUGGCGUACAUUAUUAAGAGUACAUACUCGGGGCAGAUGAGAAGAUCAGGUCAGAGUGGACUUGGGUACGGCCGUGUUGUUGUGUUGAAAACAACUUUCUGCAGAUUGCUAAAUUGAUUAUUAUUGUGGGAAUUGAACGCGCUUUUGGUGCUGAGAAAACCAUCAGCAGCCUGCUCAAAGAAUUACAACCAUCAGAUCUUCUUUUAAUUAACCUUUUUCAAUCUAACGGCCAGACUUUGAUCGGCUUUUUGUGAAUUAUCAAAAAAUAAUUUUCAUUUUUUAGACUAACAUAACUUCUUCAAUUUAAGUCCGAUUUUUAUGUUUUUUUAUAUAGAAAGACUCGUCUUUCAAAGACGAAUCUAAUGAGACUUAUAUUGAUUUUAUUCCAAUAAUUUUUUUAAAGUUCCUUCUUUCAAGCAUAUCUCGAUUUCGUUUUUUGUUCGGUUUUCGUACUCUUGGCAUGGAAAUAUUAUACGAAUAUAAUGAUAUCAAUAUUGGGAGUAUUUGAGAAGUUUAUAUAUAUAUAUAUUUUAGGGAUAUCACUCGUGUUUUAAGGGACUUUGUCAUCACUUCAUUUUGAAAGGGGGCUUACAUCAUUCCGUCGUCAAAUGUAUAUAUUAGGAACAAUGACUGCUUAAUACCUCCAAGUUGCUAAUAAUUAUGAGAAUUUCCUCAAUAACUACUGUAACCCAUACUACUAACAUAUUUGUUUUAAAAUAAUACAGUGAAGCAAGAAUAGGGGGCUACGCUACUUAUAACGUAUAUAUAAUUUAAUGUUUACACCCAUCCGAUUAAUUCCUUCAUGAUAAUCUAGGAUUGUGCUUAUAUGUACUCAAAUAAUUAAUUCGUCAACAAAAACUGCUCAAGAUGUCAUAUAUGACUUAUUGACUUUUCACAAUACAGUACACCAUACCCGAAGUCCAACAUGACACAUAUACAUAUAGAACAGAAGUCUCGAGCUUCACAGGCUCGGACCAGAGUAACCAUAUACUUGCCCUCUCGGCCACUAUAUUUUACAAAACCAUAUCUCACAUUGUACUAGUACACAACCACUCAUAACAUAUGCACAUGAUGGAAGUAAGAGUCUCAAACAAACUUGAAAUACAAAACGAGGAUAAAGACACAAUCUUCGAUAUCUGCCUGGC